CCAGACGGUGUUCCAUAACUUCAGCAUCGAUCCAUGGCAUGUCCGUCGGAGCCCAAGCAAAAAUGUUCGCAUUCUUUUGUAAAAAGUUGAUAAGCUGUGUCUGUACCUCUUCCCCCAAGUUGGAGCCGAUCUUCACCACGUGCUCUUCAUUCCCAUCGUUCAAAAGAAUUGAGACAAGAUCUUCAAUUGGCUUACCCCUUUCUUCAGCAAGAUCGUCGCGAGUGUCAAAUCCAUCAACCGGGCAGG
rnacentral:lncRNA from 1 species